GACAGAGGGUGCAAACGUUGUUCGGAAUUACUGGGCGUAAAGCGCGUGUAGGCGGUUUCGUAAGUCGGAUGUGAAAGCCCUCGGCUCAACCGGGGAAGUGCACCCGAAACUGCGGAACUAGAGUCUCGGAGAGGAUCGUGGAAUUCUCGGUGUAGAGGUGAAAUUCGUAGAUAUCGAGAGGAACACCGAUUGCGAAGGCAGCUUACUACACGAUAAUUGACGCUGGGGCACGAAAGCGUGGGGAGCAAACAGG
rnacentral:rRNA from 1 species